GGAUUUUUGUUUUAUGCCGUGAACUGUAAUUGUGUCUGUGCAGUUGCGAGUAAAAUGUUUGUCAGCCUCCCGCCAUAUGACCCGGGCUGCUUCUGGUCUCCGUGAGAAGGAGGAAGAACUCAUGGCCUCUUUGGCUGAUAACUCUGAGCUACAAGAGCAGCUGCGUCAAGCCCAAGCUGAGCUAGCAAAGGUGAAGGUAGAGAAGGAGUCCAUCGAAAC
rnacentral:lncRNA from 1 species